GAUGAACGCUGGCGGCGUGCCUAAUACAUGCAAGUCGAGCGAACGGACGAGAAGCUUGCUUCUCUGAUGUUAGCGGCGGACGGGUGAGUAACACGUGGAUAACCUACCUAUAAGACUGGGAUAACUUCGGGAAACCGGAGCUAAUACCGGAUAAUAUUUUGAACCGCAUGGUUCAAAAGUGAAAGACGGUCUUGCUGUCACUUAUAGAUGGAUCCGCGCUGCAUUAGCUAGUUGGUAAGGUAACGGCUUACCAAGGCAACGAUGCAUACCCGACCUGAGAGGGUGAUCGGCCACACUGGAACUGAGACACGGUCCAGACUCCUACGGGAGGCAGCAGUAGGGAAUCUUCCGCAAUGGGCGAAAGCCUGACGGAGCAACGCCGCGUGAGUGAUGAAGGUCUUCGGAUCGUAAAACUCUGUUAUUAGGGAAGAACAUAUGUGUAAGUAACUGUGCACAUCUUGACGGUACCUAAUCAGAAAGCCACGGCUAACUACGUG
rnacentral:rRNA from 1 species